UGCAGUCGAGCGGACCGACGGGAGCUUGCUCCCUUAGGUCAGCGGCGGACGGGUGAGUAACACGUGGGUAACCUGCCUGUAAGACUGGGAUAACUCCGGGAAACCGGGGCUAAUACCGGAUGCUUGAUUGAACCGCAUGGUUCAAUUAUAAAAGGUGGCUUUCAGCUACCACUUGCAGAUGGACCCGCGGCGCAUUAGCUAGUUGGUGAGGUAACGGCUCACCAAGGCGACGAUGCGUAGCCGACCUGAGAGGGUGAUCGGCCACACUGGGACUGAGACACGGCCCAGACUCCUACGGGAGGCAGCAGUAGGGAAUCUUCCGCAAUGGACGAAAGUCUGACGGAGCAACGCCGCGUGAGUGAUGAAGGUUUUCGGAUCGUAAAACUCUGUUGUUAGGGAAGAACAAGUACCGUUCGAAUAGGGCGGUACCUUGACGGUACCUAACCAGAAAGCCACGGCUAACUACGUGCCAGCAGCCGCGGUAAUACGUAGGUGGCAAGCGUUGUCCGGAAUUAUUGGGCGUAAAGCGCGCGCAGGCGGUUUCUUAAGUCUGAUGUGAAAGCCCCCGGCUCAACCGGGGAGGGUCAUUGGAAACUGGGGAACUUGAGUGCAGAAGAGGAGAGUGGAAUUCCACGUGUAGCGGUGAAAUGCGUAGAGAUGUGGAGGAACACCAGUGGCGAAGGCGACUCUCUGGUCUGUAACUGACGCUGAGGCGCGAAAGCGUGGGGAGCGAACAGGAUUAGAUACCCUGGUAGUCCACGCCGUAAACGAUGAGUGCUAAGUGUUAGAGGGUUUCCGCCCUUUAGUGCUGCAGCAAACGCAUUAAGCACUCCGCCUGGGGAGUACGGUCGCAAGACUGAAACUCAAAGGAAUUGACGGGGGCCCGCACAAGCGGUGGAGCAUGUGGGUUUAAUUCGAAGCAACGCGAAGAACCUUACCAGGUCUUGACAUCCUCUGACAACCCUAGAA
rnacentral:rRNA from 1 species